rnacentral:rRNA from 1 species
AUGGAAUAUCUAUUGUCCUGUCUGGAUUUGAUUAUCCUGACACAAGGUCGUGAUGUGUUUCGCUGGAACCUUACUACAUCGGGGUCUUUCACAGUAGACUCUAUGUAUCGUGCACUCACGUAUUCUGAGGUACCGGUGAGUAAUCAAAAAAAUUGGAAAGCGAAGGUACCACUUAAAGUCAAAAUAUUCAUGUGGUAUCUCCAUAGGGGAGUUGUGCUAACAGAAGACAACCUCGCACGACGCAACUGGUCGGGAAGUAAGAAGUGUUGUUUUUGUACUCAUGAUGAGAUAAUUAAACAUCUCUUUUUUUACUGUAAGUUUGCGCGUACUACGUGGUCAGCCAUCCAAAUAGCGUCAAAUUUGUAUCCGCCCACAAGUGUUGCCAAUAUUUUUGAUCAUUGGCUGCACAGUAUUUCAAAUAGGUACAAAACACUAAUAAGGGUGGGAGCAUAUGCCUUACUAUGGUCACUUUGGCUAUGUAGAAAUGACGUUGUUUUUAAUGACAAAAAAUGA